rnacentral:tRNA from 1 species
GCUGUGAUCGGGAAUGGUCGUACCGGAGCCGGCAACCGCUCGACGGACGGGGGUUCGAUUCCCCCCAGCUCCA